UUUGACAUGACUAUGCGGUUUGUUAAUACGCUACAUUCCGGUAUAUUUAUCGCUCAUGUGUGAUCCCGAACAAACAAAUAUUGUGUGAUCGUGAGUUAUAUUUAGAUAAGAAAUACGUACAUAAGUUUUGUUAAGUAUAUAUUGAAAAACAACAACAGCACAGUUUAACAUUACUAUACAGAAUGCUUCGAAUAAUUUUAUUGCUGUAUGCGUUAGUUGCGGUGCAAUGCGAUAUUAUCAGGGUUCCUUUGCAUAAAAUACCUUCUGCGCGUAAAACAUUGAAAGAAGUUGGAACAGAAGUCAAACAACUGAGGGUUCGUUAUGGAGGAAGUCCUGUACCCGAGCCUCUGUCAAACUAUUUAGAUGCACAAUAUUUUGGUCCUAUUACGCUUGGUACACCACCACAAUCGUUUAAGGUUGUUUUCGACACAGGUUCCUCUAAUCUGUGGGUACCCUCCAAAAAAUGCCAUUUUACAAAUAUAGCUUGCCGUAAGUAUUUGAGGUAUAUUGUUCUGUU